GUAAUUGUUGAAAUCGGUCACCAGGAACUUUUUACUGGAUGAGUCCUCUGCCAUGUACUUGGCUUCGAGACAAUCCCACAAUUCCUUUGCAGAUUCCACGUUUUGGUAAAUAUCAAAUAAGGGAUCAGUCAUACCGUUAAGAAUGUGCCCUCUGCAUAUGUAAUCGUCGUUCUCCCACUUUGAUCGGCGCCUCAGAUUUUCAACCGUGUCAUCCUCCCCAAUUUCUGGAAUCGGUGUAGACAGGACGUGCACCACCUUCAACGUUGUCAACAUGAAAUGCAUAUUCUUCUGCCAACGCCUGAAUUCUUGUCCUUGA
rnacentral:lncRNA from 1 species